rnacentral:rRNA from 1 species
CCUACGGGAGGCAGCAGUAGGGAAUAUUGCUCAAUGGGGGAAACCCUGAAGCAGCAACGCCGCGUGGAGGAUGAAGGUUUUCGGAUUGUAAACUCCUUUUGUUAGAGAAGAUAAUGACGGUAUCUAACGAAUAAGCACCGGCUAACUCCGUGCCAGCAGCCGCGGUAAUACGGAGGGUGCAAGCGUUACUCGGAAUCACUGGGCGUAAAGAGGGCGUAGGCGGGAUAGCAAGUCAGAUGUGAAAUCCUAUGGCUUAACCAUAGAACUGCAUUUGAAACUGUUAUUCUAGAGUAUGGGAGAGGUAGGUGGAAUUCUUGGUGUAGGGGUAAAAUCCGUAGAGAUCAAGAGGAAUACUCAUUGCGAAGGCGACCUGCUAGAACAUAACUGACGCUGAUGCGCGAAAGCGUGGGGAGCAAACAGGAUUAGAGACCCUUGUAGUC